rnacentral:rRNA from 1 species
GACGAACGCUGGCGGCGUGCUUAACACGUGCAAGUCGAACGGAAAGGCCCUGCUUUUGUGGGGUGCUCGAGUGGCGAACGGGUGAGUAACACGUGAGUAACCUGCCUUUGACUUUGGGAUAACUUCAGGAAACUGGGGCUAAUACCGGAUAGGAGCUCCUGCUGCAUGGUGGGGGUUGGAAAGUUUCGGCGGUUGGGGAUGGACUCGCGGCUUAUCAGCUUGUUGGUGGGGUAGUGGCUUACCAAGGCUUUGACGGGUAGCCGGCCUGAGAGGGUGACCGGCCACAUUGGGACUGAGAUACGGCCCAGACUCCUACGGGAGGCAGCAGUGGGGAAUAUUGCACAAUGGGCGGAAGCCUGAUGCAGCAACGCCGCGUGCGGGAUGACGGCCUUCGGGUUGUAAACCGCUUUCGCCUGUGACGAAGCGUGAGUGACGGUAAUGGGUAAAGAAGCACCGGCUAACUACGUG